UCCUGGAACUGACACAGCUUUCCCCAGUCUGAGAAGAAAGUAUCCUUGCAAGAAAGUUUCUGUUCUUCAGAUAUUUAUAAAUAAGUUCAACAGCCAUCUGCCUUGACUACUUUGACCAACCUGCUGCCUGAUCAAGAAGAAAGAUAUAUCGGCUACGAGUAAGGAAAACGAGGUUGGCAAUCAUGAGACAUGUGGAAAGGGUAUUAGACCGAUCAAGAAAAGAGAAAACAGUGGCUCAAGACAGGAUGGUGGCAGUGGAGAAGUGUUUCCUGGGAUCACCUCCGAAGUAAGGUACUUAUACUCACAUGCUCACCUGGUGACUGCUUCUUGGGGAACUCCACUUAAGUUAAGACCUUCAAACUCAAAUCAAAUGUUACCUCCUCCAGGAAGCCACCCUGGACUACCCAGCCUGACGGAAGGCCCCUCCCAUCUGGACUGUGAGCUGUUGAGAGAGGGGCGGGACCCUGUUUCAUUUGACUUUCAUCUCCGGUGCCUAAAAAGAAAGAGCCCCAGACAAGGGAUCCAGGUCUGGUCGGAUCAGGGGCGUAAGCUGGGCCCCACAUCUGGGCCUCCAUGUCUUCCGUGAGGAGAAUGGGAACCACACUCCCAGCCCUGCCUGUGUCCCAGGGCACUUCAGGAUGGAACGAGGUAAAGGCACGGGAAAGCUCUUUGGAAAUUUUCAAAUGUUGUGAAGGUUUAUUAUGAUUAUUAUUCAUGUCUGAUUUCACCGCCUCUGUGGAGCCCCGGCUCAAGUUUGUGCCUCCUCGAUGCCAAAACAACCAGUCAAAUCCAUCAAAAAGUCACUCAAUUGAGUGGGAAAAAAUGCAGGCGUCUCUGGAGCGAGCUAUCAAAAAAUAAAGCCACCAGCACAUCACUGGUGUUUUGGGGGACGUGCAGUGGGUUGUUCUAGGCACUGUUUUUGAGUUUUUCUAAGGCUCUCACCUUCUGUGAACCAAAAAAAAAAAAAAAUCAAGUCCCUCAUUUGUUUCCCAGGAGUGAGGUUGGCUGCAAGGCGCCAGGCUCAGAGAAGGGGGGAGGCAGAAAUAUUCACAGGGAUGGACUUAUGUCACCCUUGUCACCCUUAGUCCCAGCAGGUCUUAUGCCAGUGGGUUGUCUUUGAUUGGUGAGGUCACCUUCUCCAGCUGAGAAGCGGCUUUGGAAGGUUCCCCACAUGGGUUAGGAAGAAC
rnacentral:lncRNA from 1 species